CCUACGGGUGGCUGCAGUGGGGAAUAUUGCACAAUGGGCGAAAGCCUGAUGCAGCGACGCCGCGUGAGCGAAGAAGGCCUCCGGUUCGUAAAGCCCUGUCCUAAGGGAAGAAAAGGACGGUACCUUAGGAGGAAGCCCCGGCUAACUACGUGCCAGCAGCCGCGGUAAUACGUAGGGGGCGAGCGUUAUCCGGAAUUACUGGGCGUAAAGGGUGCGUAAGCGGCCUUAUAAGUCAGAUGUGAAAGGCUACGGCUUAACCGUAGUUAGCAUUUGAAACUAGAAGGCUUGAGUGCAGGAGAGGAGGGUCGAACUCCUGGUGUAGCGGUGAAAUGCGUAGAUACUAGGAGAGAAACCAGUGGCGACGGAGAUUCUCUGGACUGCAACUGACCCUGAGGCACGAAAGCGUGGGGAGCGGACAGGAUUAGAUUCCGUUGUAGUC
rnacentral:rRNA from 1 species